rnacentral:sRNA from 1 species
UGCCCUGGGAGCUGUCAUUGCCCUCCUGCUCUGGGGACAGCUUUUUGCAGUGGACUCAGGCAAUGAUGUCACGGAUAUCGCAGAUGAUGGCUGCCCGAAGCCCCCCCAGAUUGCACAUGGCUAUGUGGAGCACUCGGUUCGCUACCAGUGUAAGAACUACUACAAACUGCGCACAGAAGGAGAUGGAGUGUACACCUUAAACAAUGAGAAGCAGUGGAUAAAUAAGGCUGUUGGAGAUAAACUUCCUGAAUGUGAAGCAGGUGGGUGCUGAGCACUUAAGAGAGCAGACAGGCGUCCAGCGGGGAACGUCCUAGAGGCACAGCCUUCCAGUGCAGCUUCCUCUGAGCACACAAGAGCCAGGAGGAGGGAUGUGGGAGAACCGCAGCUGGCCAGGGAGAGACUUAAGCAGUUAGGUGAUGACUCCCUAAGGGUCACCAAGGGUCUUGUUCAUUAGGGCCUGAAGGGCACUGGCUGAAUCCAUUGUCGGCACUGCCCACAGAUCAGGAGAGCCUGUGCAUACAGAGAGCCUGCUAGAAAGCCCUGGGUCUAAGGAGAAGCAAGCUCCAGGGAGAACAAGUCAAGGGAUGACAUAAAAUCUUAAUCCAUGGAAGCCUAGCAGGAGGCUGGACACGGGCUGGAACUCCUGCUUCUCGUUAUUAGGAGGAACUGUUGCUCUCUCCUUUCAUUCUCAGAACCAGAGGCAAAGACCCAGCCUCUUCUGCUCUUACUGGUGUGGAAAUGCCAACCUGCCUCGUAUUAACUGCACCAUCUACAAAAUCUGAGCUCCAGCCAGUGCUGCUCUAGAUUCAUCUUUC